rnacentral:tRNA from 1 species
GCCCAGGUGGUGAAAUUGGUAGACACGCUAGGUUCAGGGUCUAGUGGCCUUGCGGCCGUGGGGGUUCGACUCCCCCCCUGGGCA